UACGUAGGGUGCAAGCGUUAAUCGGAAUUACUGGGCGUAAAGCGUGCGCAGGCGGUUAUGUAAGACAGGUGUGAAAUGCCCGGGCUUAACCUGGGAAUUGCGAUGGAGACUGCAAGGCUUGAAUCUGGCAGAGGGGGGUAGAAUUCCACGUGUAGCAGUGAAAUGCGUAGAGAUGUGGAGGAACACCGAUGGCGAAGGCAGCCCCCUGGGUCAAGAUUGACGCUCAUGCACGAAAGCGUGGGGAGCAAACAGG
rnacentral:rRNA from 1 species